rnacentral:pre_miRNA from 13 species
UGUGACAGAGGCCAUGUGGCCAGUCCUGUCUGGAAGACUAGUGAUUUUGUUGUUGUCUCACUGUGCCCAACAACAAGUCCCAGUCUGCCGCACAGUGCUGGCCUCCCACAGCGGUGCAGGAG